rnacentral:rRNA from 1 species
CCUACUGCCGACGUGCGAUAGGGGGAUCCCAAGUGCACAGGCAUUAGCGCCCUGUGCUUUUCGGUACCCUAAGGCGGUACCAGAAUAAGGGCUUGGGCAAGACCGGUGCCAGCCGCCGCGGUAAUACCGGCAGCCCAAGUGAUGGCCGAUCUUAUUGGGCCUAAAGCGUCCGUAGCUGGCCACGCAAGUCCAUCGGGAAAUCCACCUGCCCAACAGGUGGACGCCCGGUAGAAACUGCGUGGCUUGGGACCGGAAGGCGCGACGGGUACGUCCGGGGUAGGAGUGAAAUCCCGUAAUCCUGGACGGACCGCCGAUGGCGAAAGCACGUCGCGAGAACGGAUCCGACAGUGAGGGACGAAAGCCAGGGUCUCGAACCGGAUUAGAUACCCGGGUAGUCCUGGCCGUAAACAAUGCCUGCUAGGUGUGGCUCCCACUACGAGUGGGUGCUGUGCCGUAGGGAAGCCGCUAAGCAGGCCGCCUGGGAAGUACGUCCGCAAGGAUGAAACUUAAAGGAAUUGGGGGGGGGAACCACAAGG